rnacentral:rRNA from 1 species
AGUGAACGCUGGCGGUAGGCCUAACACAUGCAAGUCGAACGGCAGCACAGUAAGAGCUUGCUCUUACGGGUGGCGAGUGGCGGACGGGUGAGGAAUACAUCGGAAUCUACUUUUUCGUGGGGGAUAACGUAGGGAAACUUACGCUAAUACCGCAUACGACCUACGGGUGAAAGCAGGGGAUCUUCGGACCUUGCGCGAUUGAAUGAGCCGAUGUCGGAUUAGCUAGUUGGCGGGGUAAAGGCCCACCAAGGCGACGAUCCGUAGCUGGUCUGAGAGGAUGAUCAGCCACACUGGAACUGAGACACGGUCCAGACUCCUACGGGAGGCAGCAGUGGGGAAUAUUGGACAAUGGGCGCAAGCCUGAUCCAGCCAUACCGCGUGGGUGAAGAAGGCCUUCGGGUUGUAAAGCCCUUUUGUUGGGAAAGAAAAGCAGCAGGUUAAUACCCCGCUGUUCUGACUGUACCCAAAGAAUAAGCACCGGCUAACUUCGUG